UACGAAGGUGGCAAGCGUUUUUCGGAUUUACUGGGCGUACAGGGAGCGUAGGCGGUUGGGUAAGCCCUCCGUGAAAUCUCCGGGCCUAACCCGGAAAGUGCGGAGGGGACUGCUCGGCUAGAGGAUGGGAGAGGAGCGCGGAAUUCCCGGUGUAGCGGUGAAAUGCGUAGAGAUCGGGAGGAAGGCCGGUGGGGAAGGCGGCGCUCUGGAACAUUUCUGACGCUGUGGCUCGAAAGCGUGGGGAGCAAACAGG
rnacentral:rRNA from 1 species